CUUCAGGCUCCGCACAAUGUUUGAGUUGUGAACUCCGCUAGAUUGGGAACAAAGCAACGGCAGCAAUUUCAGCGUGUGUUGCGGUUAAGUCUGAAGCCU
rnacentral:SRP_RNA from 1 species